rnacentral:rRNA from 1 species
GAUGAACGCUGACAGAAUGCUUAACACAUGCAAGUCAACCUGUGGCUGACGGGCGAGUAACGCGUAAAGAACUUGCCACACAGAUAGGGACAACCUUUGGAAACGAAUGCUAAUAUCUGAUACUGUGAGAGAGCUUUGCGUCCCAUUAGCUCGUUGGAGAGGUAACGGCCCACCAAGGCGAGGAUGGGUAGCCGGCCUGAGCGGGUGAUCGGCCACAAGGGGACAGAGACACGGCCCUUACGCCUACGGGAGGCAGCAGUGGGGAAUAUUUGACAAUGGACCAAAGGCUGAUACAGCAAUUCGGUGUGCAAGAUGAAGUUUUCGGAAUGUAAAGUGCUUUCAGUUGGGAAGCGGUACCAACAGAAGAAGUGACGGCUAAAUACGUGCCAGCAGCCGCGGUAAUUC